GAUGAACGCUGGCGGCGUGCCUAAUACAUGCAAGUCGAGCGAACAGACGAGGAGCUUGCUCCUCUGACGUUAGCGGCGGACGGGUGAGUAACACGUGGAUAACCUACCUAUAAGACUGGGAUAACUUCGGGAAACCGGAGCUAAUACCGGAUAAUAUAUUGAACCGCAUGGUUCAAUAGUGAAAGACGGUUUUGCUGUCACUUAUAGAUGGAUCCGCGCCGCAUUAGCUAGUUGGUAAGGUAACGGCUUACCAAGGCAACGAUGCGUAGCCGACCUGAGAGGGUGAUCGGCCACACUGGAACUGAGACACGGUCCAGACUCCUACGGGAGGCAGCAGUAGGGAAUCUUCCGCAAUGGGCGAAAGCUUGACGGAGCAACGCGGCGUGAGUGAUGAAGGUCUUCGGAUCGUAAAACUCUGUUAUUAGGGAAGAACAAAUGUGUAAGUAACUAUGCACGUCUUGACGGUACCUAAUCAGAAAGCCACGGCUAACUACGUG
rnacentral:rRNA from 1 species